CCAGUCUGUGAGGUCCCUCAACAUUUGUGAGUAAGGACCACCUGCUUCCGCACCUGGCAACUCUGGCUGCUGUUGGAGAUCUGGGCCAGUCCCAUCUCCACCUGCCUGUUGUGGUUCCUCACAGGACCAGUCUAUGAGGACCCCUACUUCGGGUUCCUGUGGCCGCCUCAGGGGGAGACGGCUAGCCUCCUCGGAUGCAGCCUCUACUCGGCUGCUGUAACACUCCUUCCGCUGAG